rnacentral:lncRNA from 1 species
GAUAUUAGACUUGUUUUUCUAUGUAUUUGAAAAUUUUUAGAUCAAUCAAAUGGUGAAAAAGAGAGAUAUUGGCUCUAAGAGAUUGACAUCAAGGUUAGAGAAGGAAGGUAGCAAAUACUUGAGCACGUUUUUGAGGCUAUCGUCUAUUUGGUAGUUUCGAUAAUUUUUAAAUUUUUUAUAUUUUUUUUUAACUUAAUUUUUAAGAAGUAUGUAAAUUUUGAGUUAAGAUUGACGGUUCAUUCAUUAGUGAUUGAGGUUUGAAUCUGUUGUAGGAAUUACUAGGAUUUGAUCUAGGAUUAGGAUUUGGUUUAGGAUUUAGAAUUUGGUUAAGAUUUGAUUUAGGAUUUAGAAUUUGAUUAGGGUUUGAUUCAAGAUUUAGGAUUUGGUUAGGAUUUGAUUAGGGUUUGAUUUAGGAUUUAGGAUUUAAUUAGGAUUAAAUUAAGAUUUAAUUAAGAUAUAUUUGAGAUAUAUUUGUGAUCAUUCAAAUAUUUCUUUAAGAUUUCUUAUUGUUUCUUUGUAAUUUCUUUGAGGUUUCUUUGAAUUUUAUUAAAGCUUAUUUAAUAUUAUCAUGGUCUAAUUAAAGUUUAAUCAGUAUUUUAUUAGAGUUAGGAUUUUGUUGUUGCAAUUUCCAUUCUAUCUUCCAGAGCUAGGUGCCCAGAGCAUUCUCAAGCAAGACUUCACAUAUUACGACAUUGCAACAUUCAAAUUUUGGUACUCUUGACCUUGUCUACUCAAUAUGAUUGAUAUAACCUAUCCAAUUUGGAACCAUCUA